rnacentral:rRNA from 1 species
UACGUAGGGAGCGAGCGUUGUCCGGAUUUACUGGGCGUAAAGGGCGCGUAGGCGGCCUGUUAAGUGUGAAGUGAAAUCUCCAGGGCUCAACCCGGAAACCGCUUCGCAUACUGGCAGGCUGGAGGAAGGCAGAGGUGAGUGGAAUUCCCGGUGUAGCGGUGACAUGCAUUGAUAUCGGGAGGAACACCCAUGGCGAAGGCAGCUCACUGGGCCUUUCCUGACGCUGAGGCGCGAAAGCGUGGGUAGCAAACAGA